rnacentral:pre_miRNA from 1 species
CCUUGGUGCACAUACUUCUUUAUGUACCCAUAUGAACAUAUGAUAGCUAUGGAAUGUAAAGAAGUAUGUAUUCCUGGU